AGAGUUUGAUCCUGGCUCAGGAUGAACGCUAGCUACAGGCUUAACACAUGCAAGUCGAGGGGCAGCAGGACGGUAGCUUGCUACUGUCGCUGGCGACCGGCGCACGGGUGAGUAACGCGUAUCCAACCUUCCCCUGAGUAGGGAAUAGCCCGGCGAAAGUCGGAUUAAUGCCCUAUGUUGUCCGACGAUAGCAUUUGAAUCGGAUGAAAGAUUUAUCGCUCAGGGAUGGGGAUGCGUCUGAUUAGGUUGCAGGCGGGGUAACGGCCCACCUGGCCGACGAUCAGUAGGGGUUCUGAGAGGAAGGUCCCCCACAUUGGAACUGAGACACGGUCCAAACUCCUACGGGAGGCAGCAGUGAGGAAUAUUGGUCAAUGGGCGAGAGCCUGAACCAGCCAAGUAGCGUGCAGGAAGACGGCCCUAUGGGUUGUAAACUGCUUUUGGAGGGGAAUAAAGUGGCGUACGUGUACGCCUUUGUAUGUACCCUCAGAAUAAGGACCGGCUAAUUCCGUGCCAGCAGCCGCGGUAAUACGGAAGGUCCGGGCGUUAUCCGGAUUUAUUGGGUUUAAAGGGAGCGCAGGCCGCCGAUUAAGCGUGACGUGAAAUGUCCCGGCUCAACCGGGGAGUUGCGUCGCGAACUGGUUGGCUUGAGUGCGGACGAGGUAUGCGGAAUUCGUGGUGUAGCGGUGAAAUGCUUAGAUAUCACGAAGAACCCCGAUUGCGAAGGCAGCGUACCAGGCCGUAACUGACGCUAAUGCUCGAAGGUGCGGGUAUCGAACAGGAUUAGAUACCCUGGUAGUCCGCACGGUAAACGAUGAAUGCCCGCUGU
rnacentral:rRNA from 1 species